ACGAGGGGGGCGAGCGUUGUUCGGAAUUAUUGGGCGUAAAGGGCGCGUAGGCGGUGCGGCAAGUCUCCUGUGAAAACUCCGGGCUCAACUCGGAGCCUGCAGGAGAAACUGCCGUGCUGGAGUGUCGGAGAGGUGAGUGGAAUUCCCGGUGUUGCGGUGAAAUGCGUAGAUAUCGGGAGGAACACCUGUGGCGAAAGCGGCGCACUGGACCACAACUGACGCUGAGGCGCGAAAGCUAGGGGAGCAAACAGGA
rnacentral:rRNA from 1 species